AUUGAACGCUGGCGGCAGGCCUAACACAUGCAAGUCGAACGGUAACAGGAAGCAGCUUGCUGCUUUGCUGAUGAGUGGCGGACGGGUGAGUAAUGUCUGGGAAACUGCCCGAUGGAGGGGGAUAACUACUGGAAACGGUAGCUAAUACCGCAUAACGUCGCAAGACCAAAGAGGGGGACCUAAGGGCCGCUUGCCAUCGGAUGUGCCCAGAUGGGAUUAGCUAGUAGGUGGGGUAACGGCUCACCUAGGCGACGAUCCCUAGCUGGUCUGAGAGGAUGACCAGCCACACUGGAACUGAGACACGUUCCAGACUCCUACGAGAGGCAGCAGUGUGGUAUAUUGCACAAUGGGCGCAAGCCUGAUGCAGCCAUGCCGCGUGUACGAAGAAGGCCUUCGGGUUGUAAAGUACUUUCAGCGGGGAGGAAGGGAGUAAAGUUAAUACCUUUGCUCAUUGACGUUACCCGCAGAAGAAGCACCGGCUAACUCCGUG
rnacentral:rRNA from 1 species